UACGUAGGGGGCUAGCGUUGUCCGGAUUUAUUGGGCGUAAAGAGCGUGUAGGCGGCCGGGUAAGUCCGGUGUGAAAACUCGAGGCUUAACCUCGAGAUGUCAUCGGAAACUAUUCGGCUAGAGUCCGGAAGAGGAGAGUGGAAUUCCUGGUGUAGCGGUGAAAUGCGCAGAUAUCAGGAAGAACACCGAUGGCGAAAGCAGCUCUCUGGGACGGUACUGACGCUGAGACGCGAAAGCGUGGGGAGCGAACAGG
rnacentral:rRNA from 1 species